rnacentral:rRNA from 1 species
GACGAACGCUGGCGGCGUGCUUAACACAUGCAAGUCGAACGCUGAAGCCCAGCUUGCUGGGUGGAUGAGUGGCGAACGGGUGAGUAACACGUGAGUAACCUGCCCCCUCCUUUGGGAUAACGCCCGGAAACGGGUGCUAAUACUGGAUAUUCACUGGCCUUCGCAUGGGGGUUGGUGGAAAGGUUUUUUCUGGUGGGGGAUGGGCUCGCGGCCUAUCAGCUUGUUGGUGGGGUGAUGGCCUACCAAGGCUUUGACGGGUAGCCGGCCUGAGAGGGUGACCGGUCACAUUGGGACUGAGAUACGGCCCAGACUCCUACGGGAGGCAGCAGUGGGGAAUAUUGCACAAUGGGCGAAAGCCUGAUGCAGCGACGCCGCGUGAGGGAUGACGGCCUUCGGGUUGUAAACCUCUUUCGCUCAUGGUCAAGCCGCAGCUUUGGGUUGUGGUGAGGGUAGUGGGUAAAGAAGCGCCGGCUAACUACGUGCCAGCAGCCGCGGUAAUACGUAGGGCGCGAGCGUUGUCCGGAAUUAUUGGGCGUAAAGGGCUUGUAGGCGGUUGGUCGCGUCUGCCGUGAAAUCCUCUGGCUUAACUGGGGGCGUGCGGUGGGUACGGGCUGACUUGAGUGCGGUAGGGGAGACUGGAACUCCUGGUGUAGCGGUGGAAUGCGCAGAUAUCAGGAAGAACACCGGUGGCGAAGGCGGGUCUCUGGGCCGUUACUGACGCUGAGGAGCGAAAGCGUGGGGAGCGAACAGG